CCUACGGGAGGCAGCAGUUAGGAAUUUUGGGCAAUGGGCGAAAGCCUGACCCAGCAACGCCGCGUGGAGGACGAAGCCCCUCGGGGUGUAAACUCCUUUUCUGCGGGAAGAGCAAGGACGGUACCGCAGGAAUAAGCCUCGGCUAACUACGUGCCAGCAGCCGCGGUAAGACGUAGGGGGCGAGCGUUGUCCGGAUUUACUGGGCGUAAAGGGCGUGUAGGCGGCACGGCAAGUUGGGUGUGAAAGCCCCCGGCUUAACUGGGGAGAGUCACUCAAUACUGCCGAGCUCGAGGCCGGUAGGGGGAGACGGAAUUCCCGGUGUAGUGGUGAAAUGCGUAGAUAUCGGGAGGAACACCGAUGGCGAAAGCGGUCUCCGGGGCCGGUCCUGACGCUGAGGCGCGAAAGCGCGGGGAGCGAACCGGAUUAGAUCCCCGGGUAGU
rnacentral:rRNA from 1 species